rnacentral:pre_miRNA from 1 species
AGUGGAAUUGCUGGGUCAUAUGAUAACUCUAUAUUUAACCUUUUGAGGAACUGGCAAACUGUUUUCCAAAGUGGCUGAACCAUUUUACAUUUCCACUAGCAGU